rnacentral:rRNA from 1 species
GACGAACGCUGGCGGCGUGCUUAACACAUGCAAGUCGAGCGGACGGACGCUGAUCUUGCUUUUUUGAUGUUAGCGGCGGACGGGUGAGUAACACGUGUAUACCCUCCUUAUAAGUCUGGGAUAACUUCGGAAAACCGGAGCUAAUACCGGAUAAUAUCCUGAACCGCAUUGUGCAAAAGUGAAAGACGGUCUUUCUGUCUCUUAUAGAGGGUUCCGGGCUGCAUGAGCUGGUUGGGAAGGUAACGGCUUACCAAGGCAACGAUGCCUGGCCGAGGUGAGAGGGUGAUCGGCCACACUGGAGCUGAGACGCGGUCCAGACUCCUACGGGAGGCAGCAGUAGGGAAUCUUACGCAAUGGGCGAAAGCCUGACGGAGCAACGCCGAGUGAGUGAUGAAGGCCUUCGGAUCGGAAAACUGUGUUAUUAGGGAAGAACAUCUGUGUAAGUAACUGUGCACAUCUUGACGGUACCUAAUAAGAAAGCACCGGCUAACUACGUG